rnacentral:lncRNA from 13 species
AUGCAUUCAACCAAAGUGUGUCUUCCGCAUUUAACCCAACCCUCAACCUAUGGAAUUCAUACUUUUUUCACCAAGAUCCAUAAUGUAGCCUACGUAGCCAAUUUGCUUUCACCUAUCCAGCUAUAUCAGAGGGAAAGACAUCCAUGCGAUCAUCACCCUGGUCAAUGCUGAAGUGAGAAAGAUGGACGGCAAACUUCCUGUUAAGGAUAACGAUGGGAAACGUAUUGGCUAUGAGAAGGUUAAGAAAUCACCAGAUUCCAGAAACACCCUGACCAAGACGCUCAUCUUUCCUGCUAAGACCACUUAUACUUCAUAAUGAACUUUUGAUUUGUUAAUGAAACCCUUCAUCUGUCAACCAUCCAUAUGCUAAUUCUACUUUCAGAUGAAGGUUGUGAUAUGAUAGCUUCCACACAGGCUGUGAAUAGGCCUAAUCAUAUGACGCUAGCUACAUUCCAAUGGUGAUAGUCUAAUUUUAUCACUUUUAAAAUGAUGAGACAGGAACCACCAUUACUGUUGGUGUCUUUAUUUACCAGUUUGCUAUAUUUACAUGUAUGUGAUAUUUGAUAUAGUUUAGUUUCAUGUAACGUAUAUAAGGCAGCUGGGAAGAUGUGCCAUUUUCUUUAUUGACACAGAAUAUCACCAGGGAUAUACCAAAAGUGCAGUGACAUUGCUGCAGCUUAAUCAACACAACUAGGCUAUAUUUACUUUCACCAAAAUAGCAAUGUAUUUGAAAUGUGAAGAUAGAACACUGAAUCAUCAUGUUAUGUAAUUAAGUGGAGUUUCAUAGCAAGAAUAACAUUUUAUUGGUAUCUCAACCCAUAGUUUCAAGCUUACUUUAUUCCAUGAUUUUAUGUUAUCCCAUCUACUUAUAACAGAAUGUUUUACCAUAAUGUUACCUGCCUUUCCUGUCACAUUUAAAUAUUUUAUACAUUUAGAAAUAAAGGUUUAUAUUUUACCAACAGUUGGAUUGCAGAAGCAUUUUAUAUCAUAUUCCUGUUUAAGUUGAAAAAAAUGUGAAACAUAUAAAUGGAAAAGAUAUACACAUAUUUUACUGACCUCCUCGGUUUGGAAUAGUAUUGAUGUAGACAAAGUAAAACAAAUUGUGUUUUUCGUAAUUAAUGGAUAUGACACAGUCUACAGAGAGAGGAAUAAAAAUACUGCAUAUAGGAUUUGCUUUGAACAUAAUUUGACUAAUAUCUUCUGUGGGCUCGCUGGCGGUUACUGCAAUUUCUAAAAUACUUUCACCGAGGUAAAGACAGUUUCAGGUUGGAUAUUUGCCUGUAGUUUUCCUUACGUCCACCAACAGCAGUUAGGAACCGUCAACAUAGUGACAAAUCACAUUUCAAUAGCUCUUUAACCAUUACUCCUAACACUUUCAAAACUGGUUGUAGCUAACCCGAUGGCAUAGACACACAUUGCACACCCUUUAGUUAAGUCAAUUUUCAUCCCACAUGAUUUUACAUUCAUUUUUCAAAAUGUAGAAUUUCAAUAGCUCCUUGGUCAUGUGACCUGACUCCAAACAAGGUUCAGUAUGUCCACUGACUACCCUUCUAUAUUGCACACCCUUUAGUUUGUCCAUUUUCAUCUCACAUGGUUUUACAUAAUUUUUUCAAAAUGUAGAUUUUCAAUAGUGUGACCUACUGACCUCAAACAAGUUCAGAAUGUCCACUGUCUAUACCUUCAUAUCGCACACUCUGUUGUUUGUCUACUUUCAUUUCAUGCUAUUAGAUUUAAAUCUGUAAGCUUUGCAGGCCUUCAUUUUACAUGGCUGUCAAUAAAAAAAAUGUUAAGUCAACAAAUGUUCCAUCCUCGCAAUAACUAUCUUUCACAUGGACACUGAAAAUGUGGGAUGGAUCAAGGACAGGAGAGGUGUUUGAACAGAGGUGCUUAAAGGAAGGCACACAGGUAGGCCUCAUGAAAAACAAUGUUUCAUAUGCUCUUUUUAAUCACAGUAAUAGGCAGUGAUUUGUCAGUCACAGUGAGCUUGAUAACGUGAAAUAAUCCUUUUCAUAGCAUCACUUUCAUAUACUGUACAUUAAGACAAAUCCUUCUACGUUGAGUAUUAGAACGCAGUUUACAUAACCUGAUAAUGUCUUGAUAUUUGAGUGCAUUCACAACAAGCCACCUGCAGACAACUUACAAAAUGCAAUAUUACAUUCGAGGAUUCGUUUUUCUGAUGAAAAUAGUUAUUUGAUGCAUGGCCUACUAUUUCUCAUAAGAAACUAGCUCCCUGGUAUACAGAAAAUACCCGAGCUUUGAAGCAAGCUUCCAGAAAAUUGGAACGGAAAUGGCGCCACACCAAACUGGAAGUGUUCCGACUAGCUUGGAAAGACAGUACCGUGCAGUAUCGAAGAGCCCUCACUGCUGCUCGAUCAUCCUAUUUUUCCAACUUAAUUGAGGAAAAUAAGAACAAUCAGAAAUUUAUUUUUGAUAAUGUCGCAAAGCUAAGUAAAAAGCAACAUUCCCCAAGUGAGGAUGGCUUUC